CCAUUGUUGAUGUAGAGAACAUCACAAGAUAUAAUUGGACAAGAUUUGUGCAUGAUGAGCUUAUGAAAGGGGUUGAAAAAUUAAAGGAAAAAAAUACAUUAAGUAUUGAUAGUUGUCUUUAUGUUUUGAUGAUUAUCUAUUAUCACAAAGACACAUUUGGAGAUAAGGAAAAUUAUAUAGGGCCUCCACCACCAUGGGUUGUUUAUUGGGAU